rnacentral:rRNA from 1 species
UAGGGAAUCUUCCGCAAUGGGCGAAAGCCUGACGGAGCAACGCCGCGUGAGUGAUGAAGGUCUUCGGAUCGUAAAACUCUGUUAUUAGGGAAGAACAAAUGUGUAAGUAACUAUGCACGUCUUGACGGUACCUAAUCAGAAAGCCACGGCUAACUACGUGCCAGCAGCCGCGGUAAUACGUAGGUGGCAAGCGUUAUCCGGAAUUAUUGGGCGUAAAGCGCGCGUAGGCGGUUUUUUAAGUCUGAUGUGAAAGCCCACGGCUCAACCGUGGAGGGUCAUUGGGAACUGGAAAACUUGAGUGGCGAAGAGGAAAAUGGAAUUCCAUGUGGAGCGGUGAAAUGCGCAGAGAUAUUGAGGAACACCCGUGGCGAAGGCGACUUUCUGGUCUGUAACUGACGCUGAUGUGCGAAAGCGUGGGGAUCAAACAGG